UUGGUUAAGUUAGAAAGGGCGCACGGUGGAUGCCUUGGCACUAGGAGCCGAAGAAGGACGGGACUAACACCGAUAUGCUUUGGGGAGCUGUACGUAAGCGUUGAUCCAGAGAUUUCCGAAUGGGGGAACCCACUAUCUUUAGUCGGAUAGUAUCCUUACGUGAAUACAUAGCGUGAGGAAGGCAGACCCAGGGAACUGAAACAUCUAAGUACCUGGAGGAAGAGAAAGAAAAAUCGAUUUCCUGAGUAGCGGCGAGCGAAACGGAAAGAGCCCAAACCAAGAAGCUUGCUUCUUGGGGUUGUAGGACACUCUAUACGGAGUUACAAAAGAAAGUUAUAAAUGAAGCGGUCUGGAAAGGCCCGCCAAAGACGGUAACAGCCCGGUAGUUGAAAUGGCUUUCCCUCCAGAGUGGAUCCUGAGUACGGCGGAACACGUGAAAUUCCGUCGGAAUCCGGGAGGACCAUCUCCCAAGGCUAAAUACUCCCUAGUGACCGAUAGUGAACCAGUACCGUGAGGGAAAGGUGAAAAGCACCCCGGAAGGGGAGUGAAACAGUUCCUGAAACCGUGUGCCUACAAGUAGUUAGAGCCCGUUAAUGGGUGAUAGCGUGCCUUUUGUAGAAUGAACCGGCGAGUUACGAUUUGUUGCAAGGUUAAGCGGAAAAAGCGGAGCCGUAGCGAAAGCGAGUCUGAAUAGGGCGCAUAAGUAACAGGUCGUAGACCCGAAACCAGGUGAUCUACCCAUGUCCAGGAUGAAGGUAAGGUAAUACUUACUGGAGGUCCGAACCCACGCACGUUGAAAAGUGCGGGGAUGAGGUGUGGGUAGCGGAGAAAUUCCAAUCGAACUUGGAGAUAGCUGGUUCUCUCCGAAAUAGCUUUAGGGCUAGCCUCGAGGUAAAGAGUCAUGGAGGUAGAGCACUGUUUGGACUAGGGGCCCUUCUCGGGUUACCGAAUUCAGAUAAACUCCGAAUGCCAUGUACUUAUACUCGGGAGUCAGACUGCGAGUGAUAAGAUCCGUAGUCGAAAGGGAAACAGCCCAGACCACCAGUUAAGGUCCCCAAAUAUAUGUUAAGUGGAAAAGGAUGUGGGGUUGCUUAGACAACCAGGAUGUUGGCUUAGAAGCAGCCACCAUUGAAAGAGUGCGUAAUAGCUCACUGGUCGAGUGACCCCGCGCCGAAAAUGUACCGGGGCUAAACAUAUUACCGAAACUGUGGAUGAACCUCUUUAGAGGUUCGUGGUAGGAGAGCGUUCUAAGGGCGGUGAAGUCAGACCGGAAGGACUGGUGGAGCGCUUAGAAGUGAGAAUGCCGGUAUGAGUAGCGAAAGAAGGGUGAGAAUCCCUUCCACCGAAUAUCUAAGGUUUCCUGAGGAAGGCUCGUCCGCUCAGGGUUAGUCGGGACCUAAGCCGAGGCCGAUAGGCGUAGGCGAUGGACAACAGGUAGAGAUUCCUGUACCAGUGCUAAUUGUUUAACCGAUGGGGUGACACAGAAGGAUAGGGAAUCGCACGAAUGGAAAUGUGCGUCCAAGCAGUGAGUGUGAGAAGUAGGCAAAUCCGCUUCUCGCGAAGCAUGAGCUGUGAUGGGGAAGGAAAUUAAGUACGGAAGUUCCUGAUUUCACGCUGUCAAGAAAAGCCUCUAGGAAGAGUAGUACUGCCCGUACCGCAAACCGACACAGGUAGAUGAGGAGAGAAUCCUAAGGUGAGCGAGAGAACUCUCGUUAAGGAACUCGGCAAAAUGACCCCGUAACUUCGGGAGAAGGGGUGCUCUAUUAGGGUGCAAGCCCGAGAGAGCCGCAGUGAAUAGGCCCA
rnacentral:rRNA from 1 species